UACGUAGGUGGCAAGCGUUGUCCGGAUUUACUGGGCGUAAAGAGCGCGCAGGCGGUCGAUCAAGUCGCGUGUGAAAGCCCCCGGCUCAACUGGGGAGGGUCACGCGAUACUGAUCGACUCGAAGGCAGGAGAGGGUAGUGGAAUUCCCGGUGUAGUGGUGAAAUGCGUAGACAUCGGGAGGAACACCAGUGGCGAAGGCGACUACCUGGCCUGUUCUUGACGCUGAGGCGCGAAAGCUAGGGGAGCAAACGGG
rnacentral:rRNA from 1 species